UACGGGGGGGGUAAGCGUUGUUCGGAAUUACUGGGCGUAAAGGGCUCGUAGGCGGCCAACUAAGUCAGACGUGAAAUCCCUCAGCUUAACUGGGGAACUGCGUCUGAUACUGGAUGGCUUGGAUUCGGGAGAGGAAUGCGGAAUUCCAGGUGUAGCGGUGAAAUGCGCAGAUAUCAGGAAGAACACCCGUGGCGAAAGCGGCUCUCUGGAACGGUACUGACGCUGAGACGCGAAAGCGUGGGGAGCGAACAGG
rnacentral:rRNA from 1 species